rnacentral:lncRNA from 1 species
AAGAAAGUAAAUAACACAAGAUGUAUCGCGGUUCACCCUAAUGUUUGGGCUACGUCCACACUGAUAUUGUAUUUAUCUGUUUGUGAGAGGAUUGAGAGGGAGAGAGAGCUUCCUUAUGUGAGGAUGAGCUUCUCUGAAUAUGAGAGGGGAUGUGAGGCUUUGAGAGGGUGAGGGUCAGGCCUAAGGAUUGGCCUCUCUCAAUGAGGAGAGUGAGGAGUCCUUUUAUAAAAUAAGGGCUCCUCAUUUAUUACAUAUUUGCCUAUUCUUUUAUUACAUAAUUACAUUUGAGUCCCCCGAGUAUUUAUACGAGAUCUAAUACGGAGGCCCUAAGUAUGGUACAAACAGUAGUUCCCCAAGCCUUCAGUCAAGAGAGUCUUUUGGCUGGAGACUUGAAAUUCAGUCCAUGUGUGGGCCGAAGUAACUAGAUGUCGUCUAGAACUGAUGCUCGAUAUGAGGCGAUGCCCAAUCUGAAAUGAUGCUCAACUAGAAGUAGCACAUGUUGUGAGGCUGCUCUGCUUGUGUUGCCUUGGUCGGCUCGGCUUGUGGCAUUGAAGGUGAGGGAGUCCCUUUUAUAGAAUAAGGGCUCGCUCCUCAUUACAUAAGUGAUGGGCUAAGAGUUGAUGCUCGCGGCGAGGCGGUUGCUCAGCAGGCGGAGAUACUCUUUACUGAUGGUAAGGGAGUCUCUUUUAUAAACUAAAGACUCGCUCCUCAAUACAUAAGUGAUGGGUUAGGAGUGAUGCUCGCGGCGAUGCUCUCUAAUGAAGGUGAGGCAAUCCUUUUUAUAAAAUAAGGGCUCGCUCCUCAGUACAUAAAUAAUGGGUGCUCUCUAAUGAAGGUGAGAGAGUCUCUUUUAUAAAAUAAGGGCUCGCUCCUUAGUACAUAAAUAAUGGGCUAAAUCCCCCAAGUAUUUUUCAUGAGGCCCAAUAUAUGGUACAUAAUGUAGUCCCCCAAGUCUUCGGUCAAUAGAGUCUGUUAGCUGGAGACUUCAAAUUCAAUCCAUGUAAGGGCCGAAGUGGCGGUUGUUUGGAGGUGGUAUUUGUAUACCUUGCACUGAAGCUUUGCAAGUAAAGCUUUUGAAGCUGGAGCUCUGUAAAUGAAGCUUUUGAAGCUAGAGCUCUGUAAAUGAAGCUUUUGAAGCUAGAGCUUUUGUAAAUGAAGCUUUUGAAGCUGAUUGACAUGAGUGAUGCUCAUGAAUGUUUAUGUUGAUUGAUAUGAGUGAUGCUCAUGGAUGUUGACAUGAGUGAUGCUCAUGGAUGUUGACAUGAGUGAUGCUCAUGAAUGUUGACAUGAGUGAUGCUCAUGAAUGUUUAUGUAUGAUUGAUAUGAGUAAUGCUCAUGAAUGUUUAUGUAUGAUUGACAUGAGUAAUGCUCAUGUAUAAUUUGAAGUACUGGGCGUACUUUUGAUCACCUGGUUGGUGAUAAUAACGGCAGGUUGUCCAAUAAUUUUGGAGUACUGGGCGUACUUUUGAUUACCUGGUUGGUGAUAAUAGAGGGCCUGAAUUUUUUAGGCAUACGGGCCUUCACCCUCCACAUGACAUUGCAGCCCAUUAUUUUGGGCUUGCCGUUUUUUUUUUUAUUAUUUUUUUUAUUUUUAUUACCCUCUGAUGGGGUUUAUACAGAUGUCUCCGAAAGAUAAGAAAAAUAAAUUACAUCAUUCAAAAAUAAAAAGCUGCUGUAGAAUGUGGGUAUAGCAGAUGGUUGGGUAGUGGGAUAACAUGUGCUUGCGGGGGGCAGGGCCUGCUUAAUGGGUCACGCUCAUAAUUAUGUCAUCACCUCGUCUGCUUUUUCUUUUUCUUUUCUUUUUUUUUUAAUUUUUUAUUUUUUUUUUAGCUUUCUGCCAUUGUCUUAGUGGGUAGCCAUGCUUUUCCACUUUUGCUUUUGUUUUUUUGCUUUGCUUUUGCUUUUGCUUUCUCUUUUCUUUUGCUUUCGGCCUGGUUGGUGUUGGGACCUUGUAGUGGGAUGACAAACAGCUUGGCAUCAUUAUGUAUGAAUUCCUUUAUCAUCGUGGUGCCGGACCACUUUCCAGCUGUUUAAAGGAACCUGCUUUACCUUCACUGCUUUUUAACCAUCAUUCCUCCAUCUAUACCCAUUUGAAGCAAUCAUCACUCCCCUGGAGCCGAUACUCGACCGAACGAGUCAUUCUGAGAGGCAGCAGAAUGUUGACGUCUACAACGUGUGGACCGAAGCCUAAAUGCGACGUCGUUUGGCCCACCACCAGAAGAAGAAACAAACCGAGCAAAAUAGUGAAGCUCACCAGAGAGAUCGCCGAAGUCGGAGCUUGAGCAACGGAGCUUGUAUUUGAGGUGAGUGAUCAUGGAUCGUAGAAAAAUGGAGAAUCGAAGGGUUAGCGAAGUGGACUAUCCUCCUUCCCAAUUUGCUUCCCAUGGUGAAUGAUUUUCUCGGCUUUUCUGGCGAAUUUUCAAAAUUAAUUUGUAACUAAAUGAGAAAUUUAACCAGCAGAAAACCUGAGGAAGGUUGCCUUUCCAGUACCCAGAAAACCUGUAUAAGAAUCUUGAUGCGGUCAAGCGGAGCCGUGACGCUCUCAGCGGUGGCUCCAGCAACGGCUCCGACAGCAAAUAGCGCACCGUUUUUUGGCACGCAUGCGAGAGUAGCCAAAUGAUGCUUCAACAGCUGAGCCGAGGUCGGCAAAAACUCGUUCCUUUGUUCUCCCUUUUCGCCAUUGAAACGCAGGCGAAAUUGUACCGAAUUCCACGGUCACUGCUGAAGCUGAGCUACGCAGUCGUCCACAGCGGUUCGUGGUGGUCCGCGGCGUUGGUAAGGGCGCAGCGGGAGGCGUUGAGGCUUGGGAUGCUCCACCAUGAUACAAUGGCUCUGGGAUUUCCGGCUAUGGCUGGGGAAUUUUGAAGAAGGGAGGUGGAAAAGUGAAGGGAUAAGGCGAGGGAGGCAGUUGCAGAGAGAGUUCUCCUGAAUAAUCACCAUCUCCGAUCUUUGAUGCCAGUGAACAUUUUUUGAGAUGAUGAAGUCGUGGGAUUGUGAGAUUAUCCCAAAUUUCUCUCGAAUUUGAAUUUAUGCCAUCGAAGUCAUCACACCACUACUGAUUUUGACAAGGCCCAUGUCGGCGGGGUCUUAAUAAUCACAACUGCAGGCCUAAUGGCUACCAAAGCCACGACCUUCGAGCCCAGUCUUCGGUGUAGCCCACACUAGGCUCUUGCGGCCUUCCCGCCUCGAUGACGUUGUCCUCUACCCGUGAAAAAUUGGGUUUUCAUGAAAUGCGGAUUUGGGUCAGGCCCUCUGCGAGUUCGGCUGGAAACGCUCCGAUGUCGUCCUCUCCUCCUUCAUAAGUCACAUGGACGUGUGCUCAGUUUUAGCUGGACUGUUAAGGAAGAUAAACUGGUUGGCGGCUUUGUGGCGUCUCCUGUGCAUCUGCAUAUUCUGGUCUCUCUGAAAUCCCUGGUUGCAGGUAGAGUAGGAUCUCAGGUUGUGCAGAUUCACGGUGGAGUGUGGUGAGGUCUUCAUGGUGGUGAGAUGAAAAAAUGAAAGAGAACCGACAUAGUUUUUUGUGUCGAUUCCCACAGAUAGCUCCAAAUGUUGAUGCAUAAAACCGGAGGUCUUGGAACAACGUAAAUCCGACCGUGAAUCUGCAAGAAAGUAAAUAACACAAGAUGUAUCGUGGUUCACCCCAAUGUUUGGGCUACGUCCACACUGAUAUUGUAUUUCUCUGUUUGUGAGAGGAUUGAGAGGGGGAUAGAGCUUCCUUAUGUGAGGAUUAGCUUCUCUGAAUAUGAGAGGGGAUGUGAGGCUUUGAGAGGGUGAAGGUCAGGCCUAAGGAUUGGCCUCUCUCAAUGAGGAGAGUGAGGAGUCCUUUUAUAAAAUAAGGGCUCCUCACUUAUUACAUAUUUGCCGCUUCCUUUAUUACAUAAUUACAUUUGAGUCUCCCAAGUAUUUAUGCGAGAUCUAAAUACAGAGGCCCUAAGUAUGGUACAAACAACUCUGAUACUAUAUUAAAUGCUCAUUAUAUUCCAGAAGUUAAGUUGUUAGAAAAUGUAUCACUAAUACAUAUCAAAUUAUCAUAAACAAUUUUUU